rnacentral:rRNA from 1 species
UGGGGAAUUUUGGACAAUGGGCGCAAGCCUGAUCCAGCAAUGCCGCGUGAGUGAAGAAGGCCUUCGGGUUGUAAACUGCUCUUGUACGGAACGAAACGGCCUUUUCUAAUAAAGAGGGCUAAUGACGGUACCGUAAGAAUAAGCACCGGCUAACUUCGUGC